UUAAGCGACUAAGCGUACACGGUGGAUGCCCUGGCAGUCAGAGGCGAUGAAGGACGUGCUAAUCUGCGAUAAGCGUCGGUAAGGUGAUAUGAACCGUUAUAACCGGCGAUUUCCGAAUGGGGAAACCCAGUGUGUUUCGACACACUAUCAUUAACUGAAUCCAUAGGUUAAUGAGGCGAACCGGGGGAACUGAAACAUCUAAGUACCCCGAGGAAAAGAAAUCAACCGAGAUUCCCCCAGUAGCGGCGAGCGAACGGGGAGGAGCCCAGAGCCUGAAUCAGUGUGUGUGUUAGUGGAAGCGUCUGGAAAGGCGCGCGAUACAGGGUGACAGCCCCGUACACAAAAAUGCACAUGCUGUGAGCUCGAUGAGUAGGGCGGGACACGUGGUAUCCUGUCUGAAUAUGGGGGGACCAUCCUCCAAGGCUAAAUACUCCUGACUGACCGAUAGUGAACCAGUACCGUGAGGGAAAGGCGAAAAGAACCCCGGCGAGGGGAGUGAAAAAGAACCUGAAACCGUGUACGUACAAGCAGUGGGAGCACAGAGCAAUCUGUGUGACUGCGUACCUUUUGUAUAAUGGGUCAGCGACUUAUAUUCUGUAGCAAGGUUAACCGAAUAGGGGAGCCGAAGGGAAACCGAGUCUUAACUGGGCGUUAAGUUGCAGGGUAUAGACCCGAAACCCGGUGAUCUAGCCAUGGGCAGGUUGAAGGUUGGGUAACACUAACUGGAGGACCGAACCGACUAAUGUUGAAAAAUUAGCGGAUGACUUGUGGCUGGGGGUGAAAGGCCAAUCAAACCGGGAGAUAGCUGGUUCUCCCCGAAAGCUAUUUAGGUAGCGCCUCGUGAAUUCAUCUCCGGGGGUAGAGCACUGUUUCGGCAAGGGGGUCAUCCCGACUUACCAACCCGAUGCAAACUGCGAAUACCGGAGAAUGUUAUCACGGGAGACACACGGCGGGUGCUAACGUCCGUCGUGAAGAGGGAAACAACCCAGACCGCCAGCUAAGGUCCCAAAGUCAUGGUUAAGUGGGAAACGAUGUGGGAAGGCCCAGACAGCCAGGAUGUUGGCUUAGAAGCAGCCAUCAUUUAAAGAAAGCGUAAUAGCUCACUGGUCGAGUCGGCCUGCGCGGAAGAUGUAACGGGGCUAAACCAUGCACCGAAGCUGCGGCAGCGACACUGUGUGUUGUUGGGUAGGGGAGCGUUCUGUAAGCCUGUGAAGGUGUGCUGUGAGGUAUGCUGGAGGUAUCAGAAGUGCGAAUGCUGACAUAAGUAACGAUAAAGCGGGUGAAAAGCCCGCUCGCCGGAAGACCAAGGGUUCCUGUCCAACGUUAAUCGGGGCAGGGUGAGUCGACCCCUAAGGCGAGGCCGAAAGGCGUAGUCGAUGGGAAACAGGUUAAUAUUCCUGUACUUGGUGUUACUGCGAAGGGGGGACGGAGAAGGCUAUGUUGGCCGGGCGACGGUUGUCCCGGUUUAAGCGUGUAGGCUGGUUUUCCAGGCAAAUCCGGAAAAUCAAGGCUGAGGCGUGAUGACGAGGCACUACGGUGCUGAAGCAACAAAUGCCCUGCUUCCAGGAAAAGCCUCUAAGCAUCAGGUAACAUCAAAUCGUACCCCAAACCGACACAGGUGGUCAGGUAGAGAAUACCAAGGCGCUUGAGAGAACUCGGGUGAAGGAACUAGGCAAAAUGGUGCCGUAACUUCGGGAGAAGGCACGCUGAUAUGUAGGUGAAGUCCCUCGCGGAUGGAGCUGAAAUCAGUCGAAGAUACCAGCUGGCUGCAACUGUUUAUUAAAAACACAGCACUGUGCAAACACGAAAGUGGACGUAUACGGUGUGACGCCUGCCCGGUGCCGGAAGGUUAAUUGAUGGGGUUAGCGCAAGCGAAGCUCUUGAUCGAAGCCCCGGUAAACGGCGGCCGUAACUAUAACGGUCCUAAGGUAGCGAAAUUCCUUGUCGGGUAAGUUCCGACCUGCACGAAUGGCGUAAUGAUGGCCAGG
rnacentral:rRNA from 1 species